GCGCCACUAGCUCAGCUGGAUAGAGUGUUUGACUACGAAUCAAAAGGUCACAGGUUCGAGUCCUGUGUGGCGCGCCA
rnacentral:tRNA from 2 species